rnacentral:lncRNA from 1 species
AAAGGAAUGUUCAACUCUCUAAGUUGAAUGCAAACAAAACAAAGUAUUUUCUGAGAAUGCUUCUGUGUAGUUUUUCGACGAAGAUAUUUCCUUUUCUACCAUAGGCCCCAAAGCCCUCUAAAUAUCCACUUGCAAAUUCUACAAAAAGAGUGUUUCAAAACUCCUCUAUCAUAAGGAAGGUUCAAAUCUGUGAGUUGAAUGCGGACAUCACAAUUAAGUUUCUGAGAAUAAUUCUGUCUAUUUUAUGUGAAGAUACUCCCGUUUCCAAAGAAGGCCUCAAAGCGCUCCAAAUAUCCACUUGCAGACUUUACAAACAGAGUGUUUCAAAACUGCUCUAUCAAAAGAAAGGUUAAACUCUGUGAGUUGAAGGCACACAUCACAAAGUAGUUUCUGAGAAUUUUUCUGUCUAGUUUUUAUAUGAAGACAUUUCCUUUUCUACCAUAGGCCUCAAAGCGCUCUAAAUAUCCACUUGCAAACUCUACAAAAAGAGUGUUUC